UGUUGCAUUUAGGCUGUCUUCCGAAGUGCUCUGUUUCAUCAAUAGCCGAGGAGAAGAGGGUGUGCUAGGUGGACCAGAUGACUGCAAAACGUGAGGAGAUCUUUUCUCGUACUGCUUACAAAGGACAUAGGGAUCCUUAGGGAAGGAUUCCCCGGAAGCUCCUUUCUUCUCCUCAGAGCCCUCCAUUGGCAGAGGCAAUGUGGGUGGAGGAUGUAAACCGGAAAGGGCCGGCGGCAUGGAGUGAACCAUUUGGAUCCCACCAACUG
rnacentral:lncRNA from 1 species